GAGAAUGCGGAUUUUUUUUUUGUUGUUGUUUUUUAAAGAAAAAUGAACAAGGAGCCUGGUUGGGGAUUGGGGUGGGAGGAAUAUUUGUCUUUUGUCCCACAAACGUGUGUGAUGCUCCAAAGGGCUGGAGAACCUCUCUCUUAAGUGGAUAUUUUUCCCCUCAAACGACUUCUCAGACAUGAUCCUCUCUGAGGUUGGUCCUGGGCUUCCAUACGUGAUUCAUGGAAGAGGUCUCAGCCCCAAGAGCCCCUGAGGGUACUGUCCACUCCCCCUGGAAACUUCCAGAACCUGACGUGGGGCUGAAGACAUAGAGGCUCUGAGAGUUACAUAAUUGAUUCUGACUUUGGCUGUUGGUCAACAGUGUCAUAAGGUAAAAUAAGGUAAAAAUCUAUGAUUUUUAUAUUUC
rnacentral:lncRNA from 10 species